GAUGAACGCUAGCGGCAGGCUUAAUACAUGCAAGUCGAGGGGCAGCAUGAUUGUAGCAAUACAAUUGAUGGCGACCGGCAAACGGGUGCGGAACACGUACACAACCUUCCAAUAAGUGGGGAAUAGCCCAGAGAAAUUUGGAUUAAUACCCCGUAACAUAACGAUGUGGCAUCACAUUGUUAUUAUAGAUUUUUCGCUUAUUGAUGGGUGUGCGGCUGAUUAGAUAGUUGGCGGGGUAACGGCCCACCAAGUCUACGAUCAGUAGCUGAUGUGAGAGCAUAAUCAGCCACACGGACACUGAGAAACGGGCCCGACUCCUACGGGAGGCAGCAGUAAGGAAUAUUGGACAAUGGACGAAAGCCUGACCCAGCCAUGCCGCGUGCAGGAAGAAGGCGUUAUGCGUUGUAAACUGCUUUUAUACAGGAAGAAACGACCCUUGCGAGGGGCAUUGACGGUACUGUAUGAAUAAGCACCGGCUAACUCCGUGCCAGCAGCCGCCGUAACAC
rnacentral:rRNA from 1 species